rnacentral:lncRNA from 1 species
GGAGCCCGAAUGUGUGUCGCUCGCCGGGUUACCGGUGUAGUGGAGCCUCUUGUGUGUCACACGGUGGAGCAACAGGCGCAGAGGAGCCCAAACGUGUGUCACAUGGUGGGUUACUGUCGUGAAGGAGCCCAAACGUGUCACUCGCCGGGUUACCGGUGUAGUGGAGCCCCUCAUGGGUCACAUGGUGGAUCAACAGGCGCAGAGCCCAAACGUGUGUCGCUCGCCGGGUUACCGGUGUAGCGGAGCCUCUUGUGUGUCACACGGUGGAGCAACAGGUGCAGAGGAGCCUGAACGUGUAUUGCUCGCCGGGUUACCGGUGUAGCGGAGCCUCUUGUGUGUCACACGGUGGAGCAACAGGCGCAGAGGAGCCCGAACGUGUGUCACUCACUGGGUUACCGGGGUAGUGGAGCUCCUUGUGUGUCACACGGUGGAGCAACAGGCGCAGAGGAGCCCAAACGUGUGUCGCAUGGUGGAUUACCGUCGUGGAGGAGCCCAAACGUGUGCCACUCACUGGGUUACCGGUGUAGUGGAGCCCCUGGAGCGUCACACGGUGGAACAACAGGCGCAGAGGAGCCCAAACGUGUGUCACUCGCCGGGUUACCGGUGUAGCGGAGCCUCUUGUGUGUCACACGGUGGAGCAACAGGCGCAGAGGAGCCCGAAUGUGUGUCACUCACCGGGUUACCAGUGUAGCAACAGGCGCAGAGGAGCCUGAACGUGUGUCGCAUGGUGGGUUACCGUCGUGGAGGAGCCCCUUGUGUGUCACACGGUGGAGCAACAGGCGCAGAGGAGCCCAAACGGGUGUCGCUCGCCGGGUUACCGGUGUAGCGGAGCCUCUUGUGCGUCACACGGUGGAUCAACAGGCGCAGAGGAGCCCAAACGUGUGUCGCAUGGUGG